rnacentral:tRNA from 1 species
UCCUGGUGGCUCAGCUGUUAAAGAAUCUGCCUGCAAUGCAGGAGACUCAGGUUCGAUCCCUGAAUCUGGAA